rnacentral:misc_RNA from 1 species
UGAUAUCCUCAAAAUGUCUACCAAUAACUCCAAGACACAAGCUAACCAAGCUAAGAGGCUUUUUCUUCAUAUUCAUAAUAGCUAAUACAGAUGCUUGUAAAGAAGGGCUGUAAAUUUUAGCUUCUGAAUUAGGAUUCUUGUCAAACUUGACCAGAGAAUUCUAUACGACAGCGAUGAAUUCAAGGGAUUUUGCUUUGUCCAUCAACUGAUUGAAUUCAAAGGAGAAGCUGAUUCAGGUUCGACGCCGACGGGGUGAAUUGGG